GCGUCGGUGGUUCAGUGGUAGAAUACUCGCCUGCCACGCGGGUGGCCCGGGUUCGAUUCCCAGCCGACGCA
rnacentral:tRNA from 2 species